UGAUUAUUGGAGGUAGAGCACUGUUUGGACGAGGGGCCCCUCUCGGGUUACCGAAUUCAGACAAACUCCGAAUGCCAAUUAAUUUAACUUGGGAGUCAGAACAUGGGUGAUAAGGUCCGUGUUCGAAAGGGAAACAGCCCAGACCACCAGCUAAGGUCCCAAAAUAUAUGUUAAGUGGAAAAGGAUGUGGCGUUGCCCAGACAACUAGGAUGUUGGCUUAGAAGCAGCCAUCAUUUAAAGAGUGCGUAAUAGCUCACUAGUCGAGUGACACUGCGCCGAAAAUGUACCGGGGCUAAACAUAUUACCGAAGCUGUGGAUUGUCCUUUGGACAAUGGUAGGAGAGCGUUCUAAGGGCGUUGAAGCAUGAUCGUAAGGACAUGUGGAGCGCUUAGAAGUGAGAAUGCCGGUGUGAGUAGCGAAAGACGGGUGAGAAUCCCGUCCACCGAUUGACUAAGGUUUCCAGAGGAAGGCUCGUCCGCUCUGGGUUAGUCGGGUCCUAAGCUGAGGCCGACAGGCGUAGGCGAUGGAUAACAGGUUGAUAUUCCUGUACCACCUAUA
rnacentral:rRNA from 1 species